CAGCAGCCGCGGUAAUACAGAGGGUGCGAGCGUUAAUCGGAUUUACUGGGCGUAAAGCGUGCGUAGGCGGCUUCUUAAGUCGGAUGUGAAAUCCCUGAGCUUAACUUAGGAAUUGCAUUCGAUACUGGGAAGCUAGAGUAUGGGAGAGGAUGGUAGAAUUCCAGGUGUAGCGGUGAAAUGCGUAGAGAUCUGGAGGAAUACCGAUGGCGAAGGCAGCCAUCUGGUCUAAUACUGACGCUGAGGUACGAAAGCAUGGGGAGCAAACAGGAUUAGAUACCCGAGAGUCCCUGUCUCUUAUACA
rnacentral:rRNA from 1 species